UACGUAGGGUGCGAGCGUUGUCCGGAAUUAUUGGGCGUAAAGAGCUUGUAGGCGGUUUGUCGCGUCUGCAGUGAAAAUCCGGGGCUCAACCCCGGACUUGCUGUGGGUACGGGCAGACUAGAGUGUGGUAGGGGAGACCGGAAUUCCUGGUGUAGCGGUGGAAUGCGCAGAUAUCAGGAGGAACACCGAUGGCGAAGGCAGGUCUCUGGGCCACAACUGACGCUGAGAAGCGAAAGCAUGGGGAGCGAACAGGAUUAGAAACCCUGGUAGUCC
rnacentral:rRNA from 1 species